AAAGUAAUAGUUUAAUGGAAAAACACAUUCUACUCCAAUGGAUUGCCGGUUCGAUUCCUGCUUACUUUG
rnacentral:tRNA from 1 species